rnacentral:rRNA from 1 species
AUUGAACGCUGGCGGCAUGCCUUACACAUGCAAGUCGAACGGCAGCGGACCUUCGGGUGCCGGCGAGUGGCGAACGGGUGAGUAAUAUAUCGGAACGUACCUUUCAGUGGGGGAUAACGUAGCGAAAGUUACGCUAAUACCGCAUAUUCUGUGAGCAGGAAAGCAGGGGAUCGCAAGACCUUGCGCUGAUUGAGCGGCCGAUAUCAGAUUAGCUAGUUGGUGAGGUAAAGGCUCACCAAGGCGACGAUCUGUAGCGGGUCUGAGAGGAUGAUCCGCCACACUGGAACUGAGAUACGGUCCAGACUCCUACGGGAGGCAGCAGUGGGGAAUUUUGGACAAUGGGCGCAAGCCUGAUCCAGCCAUGCCGCGUGAGUGAAGAAGGCCU